AUUGAACGCUGGCGGCAGGCCUAACACAUGCAAGUCGAGCGGAUGAGGAAAGCUUGCUUUUCGAUUCAGCGGCGGACGGGUGAGUAAUGCCUAGGAAUCUGCCUGUUAGUGGGGGAUAACUCGGGGAAACUCGGGCUAAUACCGCAUACGUCCUACGGGAGAAAGUGGGGGAUCUUCGGACCUCCCGCUAACAGAUGAGCCUAGGUCGGAUUAGCUAGUAGGUGAGGUAAUGGCUCACCUAGGCGACGAUCCGUAACUGGUCUGAGAGGAUGAUCAGUCACACUGGAACUGAGACACGGUCCAGACUCCUACGGGAGGCAGCAGUGGGGAAUAUUGGACAAUGGGCGAAAGCCUGAUCCAGCCAUGCCGCGUGUGUGAAGAAGGUCUUCGGAUUGUAAAGCACUUUAAGUUGGGAGGAAGGGUUGUAAGCUAAUAUCUUGCAGCUUUGACGUUACCAACAGAAUAAGCACCGGCUAACUCUGUGCCAGCCGCCGCAGUAAUAC
rnacentral:rRNA from 1 species